rnacentral:rRNA from 1 species
UGGGUUUAGACCCACGGCGAACGGGUGAGUAAUACCUAGGAAUGUAUCUUUAGUUGAGCAUAUCCCACCGAAAGGUGGAGCAAUUCUCAAUGUGAUCGCAAGAUUAAAGUCGCAAGACGCUAAAGAAGCAGCCUGGGCACCAUCAGCUAGUUGGUAAGGUAAAAGCUUACCAAGGCUUUGACGGUUAGGGGCCCCGAGAGGGGAGACCCCCACACUGGAACUGCGACACGGUCCAG